GGCGUAUAAAAGAAAAAUUUUGGAGAGAAAAUCUGGGCAUGAGGAAUCCUUGUGUGCAAGGUGAAGGUUUAUAUCCUUCCGAGAGAAAAAGAAAGAAAAGAAAGAAAAAGUAUGCGCAGGGUUUCAGUGAGCAUGAGGAAUCCUUGUGUGCAAGGUGAAGGUUUAUAUCCUUCCGAGAGAAAAAGAAAAAAAAGAAAGAAAAAGUGUGCGUAGGGUUUCAGUGAGUUCU
rnacentral:lncRNA from 1 species